CGGUUGAUCCUGCCGGAGAUCACUGCUAUUGGAAUCCGAUUCAGGCAUGCGAGUCGCGAGGGUGAGGCCCUCGGCGCACUGCUCAGUAACACGUGGACAAUCUGCCCUUAGGUGGGGGAUAAUCUCGAGAAAUUGAGCAUAAUACCCCAUAGCUCUAGAAUGCUGGAAUGCUUCUAGAGUUAAAGCCCCGGCGCCUAAGGAUGAGUCUGCGGCCUAUCAGGUUGUAGUGAGUGUAACGGACUCACUAGCCGACGACGGGUACGGGUCCUGGAAGGGAGAGCCCGGAGAUGGACUCUGAGACACGAGUCCAGGCCCUACGGGGCGCAGCAGCUACGAAAACUUCACAAUGCGGGAAACCGUGAUGAGGGGAUUCCAAGUGCUAAUACUUUGUAUUAGCUGUUUCCUUGCCUAAAAAGCAGGGAGAGUAAGGGCUGGGUAAGACUGGUGCCAGCCGCCGCGGUAAUACCAGCAGCCCAAGUGGUGAUCGCUAUUAUUGGGCCUAAAGCGUCCGUAGCCGGUUUGGUAAAUCCUUGGGUAAAUCGGGCAGCUCAACUGCCCGACUUCCGAGGAGACUGCCAGACUUGGGACCGGGAGAGGUCAGAGGUACUCCAAGGGUAGAGGUGAAAUUCUGUAAUCCUUGGAGGACCACCAGUGGCGAAGGCGUCUGACUAGAACGGGUCCGACGGUGAGGGACGAAACCCUGGGGCGCGAACCGGAUUAGAUACCCGGGUAGUCCAGGGCGUAAACGCUGCGGGCUUGGUGUUGGGGGUCCUACGAGGGCGUCCAGUGCCGGAGAGAAGUUGUUAAGCCCGCCGCCUGGGGAGUACGAUCGCAAGAUUGAAACUUAAAGGAAUUGGCGGGGGAGCAC
rnacentral:rRNA from 1 species